CCUACGGGUUGCAGCAGUGGGGAAUUUUCCGCAAUGGGCGAAAGCCUGACGGAACAAUGCCGCGUGGAGGUAGAAGGCCCACGGGUCGUGAACUUCUUUUCCCGGAGAAGAAGCAAUGACGGUAUCUGGGGAAUAAGCAUCGGCUAACUCCGUGCCAGCAGCCGCGGUAAUACGAAGGGGGCUAGCGUUGUUCGGAAUUACUGGGCGUAAAGCGCGCGUAGGCGGAUAGAUAAAUCAGAGGUGAAAUCCCGGGGCUCAACCCCGGAAUUGCCUUUGAUACUGUUAUCUUGAGUGCAGAAGAGGUAAGUGGAAUUCCGAGUGUAGAGGUGAAAUUCGUAGAUAUUCGGAGGAACACCAGUGGCGAAGGCGGCUUACUGGUCUGCAACUGACGCUGAGGCGCGAAAGCGUGGGGAGCAAACAGGAUUAGAUACCCUUGUAGUC
rnacentral:rRNA from 1 species